GACGAACGCUGGCGGCGUGCCUAAUACAUGCAAGUCGAACGGAAAGGCCCUGCGCUUGUGGCGUGCUCGAGAGGCGAACGGGGGUGUAACACGCGAGUAUCCUGCCCCUGUCAGUGGGGUAAAACCUGGGAAAAGGGGCGAUAAUCCCAGAUGAGCUCCUGCAGCACGGUGGGGGAUGGUGAGAUACGGCGUUUGGGGAUGGAUUCGAGGCUUACCGGCUAGUUGGUGGGGUAGUGGCGUACCAGGGCUUCGACGGGUAGCCGGCCUGAGAGGGUGACCGGCCACAAUGGGACUGGGGUAGGGCCCAGACUGCUACGUGAGGCAGCGGUGGGAAAUAUUGCGCAAUGGGCCGGCGCCUGAUGCAGAGACGCCGCGUGCGGGAUGCCGGCCUUUGGGUUAUAAACCGCUUUCGACUGUAACGAACAGUGAGUGACGGUAAUUGGUAAGAAAGCACCGGCUAACUACGUG
rnacentral:rRNA from 1 species